UACGUAGGGUGCGAGCGUUUGUCCGGAAUUAUUGGGCGUAAAGGGCUCGUAGGCGGUUUGUCGCGUCGGGAGUGAAAACGCCGGGCUUAACUCGGUGCUUGCUUUCGAUACGGGCAGACUAGAGGCAUGCAGGGGAGAACGGAAUUCCUGGUGUAGCGGUGAAAUGCGCAGAUAUCAGGAGGAACACCGGUGGCGAAGGCGGUUCUCUGGGCAUGUCCUGACGCUGAGGAGCGAAAGUGUGGGGAGCGAACAGG
rnacentral:rRNA from 1 species